rnacentral:rRNA from 1 species
UCUCAGUUCGGAUUGCAGGCUGCAACUCGCCUGCAUGAAGCUGGAAUUGCUAGUAAUCGCGGAUCAGCAAGCCGCGGUGAAUACGUUCCCGGGCCUUGUACACACCGCCCGUCACACCAUGAGAGUCGGGAACACCCGAAGUCCGUAGUCUAACCGCAAGGGGGGCGCGGCCGAAGGUGGGUCCGGUAAUUGGGGUGAAGUCGUAACAAGGUAAC